rnacentral:rRNA from 1 species
AUUGAACGCUGGCGGCAGGCCUAACACAUGCAAGUCGAACGAGUGGCGGACGGGUGAGUAAUGUCUGGGACACUGCCCGAUGGCGGGGGAUAACUACUGGAAACGGUAGCUACUACCGCAUACCAUCGGAUGUGCCCAGAUGGGAAUGUCUAGUCGGUGGGGUAACGGCUCACCUAGGCGACGAUCCCUAGCUGGUCUGAGAGUAUGACCCGCCACACUGGAACUGAGACACGGUCCAGACUCCUACGUGAGGUAGCAGUGGGGAAUAUUGCACAAUGGGCGCAAGCCGGAUGCAGCCAUGCCGCGUGUAUGAAGAAGGCCUUCGGGUUGUAAAGUACUUUCAGCGAGUAGGCGUUACUCGCAGAAGAAGCACCGGCUAACUCCGUGCCAGCAGCCGCGGUAAUUC